rnacentral:tRNA from 1 species
GGGAGUGUGGCUCAGUGGUAGAGUGCUUGCCUUGCAUGCAUGAAGACCUGGGUUUGAUUCCUCAGUACCA